rnacentral:misc_RNA from 1 species
AAGUCGUAACAAGGUUUCCGUAGGUGAACCUGCGGAAGGAUCAUUAAUGAAUUUUGAAAGGGGUUGUAGCUGGCCGUCUCUUUGGGGCGGCAUGUGCACGCCCUGAUCACUAUCCAUCUCACACACCUGUGCACACACUGUAGGUUGGCUUGUGAUUGGAGCCACGGUCUUCAUUGACUUUGCUCUGGUUGGAGGCCCUCCUAUGUAUUAUCACAAACUACUUCAGUUUAAAGAAUGUACUCUUGCGUCUAACGCAUUUAAAUACAACUUUCAGCAACGGAUCUCUUGGCUCUC